GACGUAGGGCGCGAGCGUUGUCCGGAUUUAUUGGGCGUAAAGAGCUCGUAGGCGGCUUGUCGCGUCGUUCGUGAAAACCUGCAGCUCAACUGCAGGCUUGCGGGCGAUACGGGCAGGCUAGAGUUCGGUAGGGGAGACUGGAAUUCCUGGUGUAGCGGUGAAAUGCGCAGAUAUCAGGAGGAACACCGGUGGCGAAGGCGAUCUUCUGGACGGAUACUGACGCUGAGGCGCGAAAGCUAGGGGAGCAAACGGG
rnacentral:rRNA from 1 species